AACUCUCGGCAACGGAUAUCUUGGCUCUCGCAUCGAUGAAGAACGCAGCGAAAUGUGAUAUGUGGUGUGAAUUGCAGAAUCCCGUGAACCAUUGAGUAUUUGAACGCAAGUUGCGCUCGAGGCAGUUUGCCGAGGGCGUGCCUGCCUGGGCGUCUUUCGAUCUUUUGCUCCACCAU
rnacentral:rRNA from 1 species